AAAGUAGAUAUUUCUUGAUGGUUAAUUCAUUUCUUGCUUUCUUUUUCCAGUAUGCCACUGCAAAUGAUGUGCCAAGUGAUUUCGAUGUCAAAUACUACCCGACUUUGUACUUCAAGACAGCAAGUGGAAAGAUCUUGCCAUUUGAUGAGGAUGAGAGGACUAAGGAAAGCUUCACUGCCUUCAUCGAAAAGAACCGGGACAAAACUGAGAAACAAGGGUCGGAGAAACAAGAUUCCGGCAAAGAUGAGCUCUAAAAAGGAGGGGUUAGGCCCUAUAAUGGAGAACACAGACAUCGAGGCAGCUAGUUGGAUGUUAAUUAUCUCUUUGCAAUUAUGAUUUAAGUGUAAUUAUCUCU